CUUCGAAAGUCUUUUGAGUUGAUAGAGUAUGUUCGUGGAGUUGCUAGAUCAUACAUUGUGUUUACGCAUGGUCUUGUGAAUCGUUUUUCCGUUGUGUUUGUGAGGGAUUGUUUGGAUUGUGCAAUUUUGUAUUCGAUUGUUUCACUGAGCAAUUGGUGAAAUCAUGGUGCAUGAGAGAUUAGGUGGUGAAUGCACUGAGUUCAUGCCUAGGGAGUGAGUUGUUGUCUUGCUUCAAUUGUCCAUCGUUGGUGAGGUUUUGGAAAGAUAUAGUGGCAUGGUAAGAUAUAGUCUUAUUGUAUAAGUCAUUUGUAUCUUAAAUUCAAAUAGUGGAUCGUUUUCCAUGAGCGAGGCUCCCCC
rnacentral:lncRNA from 1 species